ACAGCCAUAUCACAUUGAAACACCAGUUCUCAUUCGAUCACUGAAGUUAAGCAACAUUGAACCUGGUUAGUACCUAGAUGAGUGACCACUCAGGAAUACCAGGUGCUGUAAG